GGGGAGGGAUGCUAUCUGUGCCCAUGGGAUGACUCUAGCACGAGGCAUGUUCCAGACUUCAAGCUGAUGAGAACUCUUGCCUCCUUUCUGUGGAUAAUGGCCAAGUGAGUCUCCCCCAGUGACACAGCCAUGGAAGACGUAGCUCGCAUUCCUUAAUGUACUUUUUGUGCCUUCCUCGGAAGAAGUUAUCAGUAGGCUCUGCUUCUCAUGUACUCAUGGAGAGAUAAGGGAGGAACGAUUAAAAAAAGAAUAAAUGGGGAA
ensembl:antisense Gm17160 predicted gene 17160